AUUGAACGCUGGCGGUAGGCCUAACACAUGCAAGUCGAACGCGAAAGUCCUUCGGGAUGAGUAGAGUGGCGGACGGGUGAGUAACGCGUAGGAAUCUAUCCUGUAGUGGGGGAUAACGUUUCGAAAGGAACGCUAAUACCGCAUACGCCCCAAGGGGGAAAGCGGGGAUCUUCGGACCUCGUGCUAUAGGAGGAGCCUGCGUCGGAUUAGCUAGUUGGUGAGGUAAAAGGCUCACCAAGGCGACGAUCCGUAGCUGGUCUGAGAGGAUGAUCAGCCACACCGGAACUGAGACACGGUCCGGACUCCUACGGGAGGCAGCAGUGGGGAAUAUUGCGCAAUGGGCGAAAGCCUGACGCAGCCAUACCGCGUGUGUGAAGAAGGCC
rnacentral:rRNA from 1 species